CACACGACACACGCACAACCCUCCGCGCGCGCUCACACUUGGGAAUGACCAGAAGAGCGCAGAUGGCACGACAGAUAAGCCUCCGCGUUGCUCACUUUAGGGAAGCCACUCGACACGAGAUUUUAAACGAUUUCAACUUCAGGAUACGAGAUGUAUAUUGUAUUUGACAGACAUUCGCGUUGUGCGUGUUUAUGGAAAUCGACCGAAUUAUUUCGGCUAUGCGUAAUACUCCAUAGCAUACACUGGAAGACGAAGUUACUCUACUACGAUAUGACAGAACCAGGAAUGGAGAACUGCUUGUAGCUGCCAGCUGGACCAUGACUGAGGAAAAGUGGACUGAGGAGAGGUGGACUCACAAGCAAGUCAGUCAGAUGGGCUGUAGGAGAUGACCAGUGUCUGAGAUGCACAGGGACUGCUGCCAUAGAGAUUUCCAUUUGUCCUGUACACUGGGUAUGUCUAUGUUAAUGCAAGAACGUUUGUGCAUUGUUAUUACAACGUAAUUAACUGUUAAUUUUAUUGAAUUGUUCUUUGUUACCUGUGUGCUGUUUAAUUGAGAUGAUCAUGUGGACCUUUUUGCCCCUCGAGACGUAGCUGGGCCACGUGUGCCACUGCUGUGCCAAAAGCGGGCAAACAGAAACUGGCUUGAGUCGGGCCUGCAUGCCCUGUGCAGUGGGCUGUGGGCAUGGAAAUCAGCCAAAUAAAAACACAGUAAAGCCAACCACACAUCACCUCCAUCCCUGCAAUGAAGAGUAUUGUACAUAUAGUUCUAGUAUGCGAGUUACUUGGCAAUACAGCAUAUUUCUCCAUUAAUAAUUAAAAUUCUCAGCUCUCCCAUGACUGUAAUAUGUCAUAAUUCACAUAAUUUACUGUACAACAUGAACUGCAAAGUAUGUCAUAGGGGAUGCAAUAAAGAACUGCUAGCUUAAAUUAUGUAUCUUGGGAAAUUUAAACACAGUGUUGUCUUUUCUUCAGUUUUGUCUGAUAAUAUUGCUCGGCCCAUGAGACACAGACAUUCCCUAAUUCUAUUUUUCAUUUGUCAUAUGCCAAGACCAAUUUAGUUCACCCUUGAAGAGUCCCCUAUGAGAGUCUCCCACGUGACCAUUUGAAACUUUGAAAUGGAGAAGCUACAUGAUCAAGGACAUUGUCCUCUUCCUUGCGGUCUUCACCAUGCUGGAGCUACAUUGGCAUACAGUACAUGGGUCAAGGACAUCCACUGUGUUCUGUGAGGAGGCUGCUGCCCAACCAAAGUCUGGAGAAUUGCACGUUUUUCCAAGUUCAACUGUACAAAACGGUGGUUAGUGGCAAGGCACCAAGAAGGGUCCUGGCUGUGUGGGCCUUGUCUUGCAGUGUAGCUUUCAUCCCAAAGAGUUGGCUGACCUACAUUGCGGUUUUGUUCUGUGCUGAAUGAAUAUGUGAAUAAACAAAAAUCUUUUGAAAUUCCUAUUUGAAGCUCUUAUUCAGUCAGCACAAUGCCUUCGCAGUUCCUGAGACACACAGGAACUAGCCUACAGGUUUUUGGAUGAUGGAUUAUUUUUGUGU